rnacentral:lncRNA from 1 species
ACAACGGUAAAAGAAAUGAAAUAACUUGACAAAAAUAAAGUUUUCUUUAACAACCACAAGUGUAUAUGAACACCUGUAUAGGCACAGUCAUGCUGGACCCAAAAUGAUUUGCCCCCUCCCUGUUUUUUUGCAGUACGGGGGAUCGAACUCAGGACAUUGCACUUGCAAGAUAGGCGCAGCACCACUGAGCUAAAUCUGAUCCUGGGCCCCCUGUUUUUCAAUCUACCAAAAGAUGACCAUCAGACAACAAACCCAUUUUCUUUUAUCUCUUUUAGAUCAGUCAGGGUUAGAUUUGAUCCCUGGCUAGGCAAGAUCAAUGCCCCUCCUCAGCCUGAAGCAGCUACACAAAGACAGAACAUCAGGCCUUCUACAUCUCUUAAGAAUAAGGGAUCAAAGUCUGUGGUGG